rnacentral:rRNA from 1 species
ACUCCUACGGGAGGCAGCAGUGGGGAAUAUUGCACAAUGGGCGCAAGCCUGAUGCAGCCAUGCCGCGUGUAUGAAGAAGGCCUUCGGGUUGUAAAGUACUUUCAGCGGGGAGGAAGGUGCUGUGGUUAAUAACCGCAGCAAUUGACGUUACCCGCAGAAGAAGCACCGGCUAACUCCGUGCCAGCAGCCGCGGUAAUACGGAGGGUGCAAGCGUUAAUCGGAAUUACUGGGCGUAAAGCGCACGCAGGCGGUCUGUUAAGUCAGAUGUGAAAUCCCCGGGCUCAAGCCUGGGAACUGCAUCUGAUACUGGCAGGCUUGAGUCUCGUAGAGGGGGUAGAAUUCCAGGUGGU